rnacentral:rRNA from 1 species
GACGAACGCUGGCGGCGUGCUUAACACAUGCAAGUCGAACGGAAAGGCCCUGCUUUUGUGGGGUGCUCGAGUGGCGAACGGGUGAGUAACACGUGAGUAACCUGCCCUUGACUUUGGGAUAACUUCAGGAAACUGGGGCUAAUACAGGAUAGGAGCUCCUGCUGCAUGGUGGGGGUUGGAAAGUUUCGGCGGUUGGGGAUGGACUCGAGGCUUAUCAGCUUGUUGGUGGGGUAGUGGCUUACCAAGGGUUUGACGGGUAGCCGGCCUGAGAGGGGGACCGGCCACAUUGGGACUGAGAUACGGCCCAGACUCCUACGGGAGGCAGCAGUGGGGAAUAUUGCACAACGGGCCGAAGCCUGAUGCAGCAACGCCGCGUGCGGGAUGACGGCCUUCGGGUUGUAAACCGCUUUCGCCUGUGACGAAGCGUGAGUGACGGUAAUGGGUAAAGAAGCACCGGCUAACUACGUG